rnacentral:tRNA from 1 species
GGGGCUGUGGCUCAGUGGGAGAGCAUCCACAUGGCACAUAGAAGGUCGCUGGUUCAAUCCCCGGCAUCUCCA